CCUACGGGUGGCUGCAGUGGGGAAUAUUGGACUAUGGGCGAAAGCCUGAUCCAGCCAUGCCGCGUGUGUGAAGAAGGCCUUCGGGUUGUAAAGCACUUUCAGUGGGGAAGAAAGCCUUGGGGCUAAUACCCUCGAGGAAGGACAUCACCCACAGAAGAAGCACCGGCUAACUCCGUGCCAGCAGCCGCGGUAAUACGGAGGGUGCGAGCGUUAAUCGGAAUUACUGGGCGUAAAGCGCGCGUAGGCGGUCUGAUAAGCCGGUUGUGAAAGCCCCGGGCUCAACCUGGGAACGGCAUCCGGAACUGUCAGGCUAGAGUGCAGGAGAGGAAGGUAGAAUUCCCGGUGUAGCGGUGAAAUGCGUAGAGAUCGGGAGGAAUACCAGUGGCGAAGGCGGCCUUCUGGACUGACACUGACGCUGAGGUGCGAAAGCGUGGGUAGCAAACAGGAUUAGAUACCCGAGUAGUC
rnacentral:rRNA from 1 species